rnacentral:tRNA from 1 species
GCCCAAGUGGCGGAAUUGGUAUACGCGCGCGACUCAAAAUCGCGUGGGAGUAAUCUCUUGAGAGUUCGAGUCUCUCCUUGGGCA